rnacentral:rRNA from 1 species
UACGUAGGGUGCAAGCGUUAAUCGGAAUUACUGGGCGUAAAGCGUGCGCAGGCGGUUUUGUAAGUCUGACGUGAAAUCCCCGGGCUCAACCUGGGAAUUGCGUUGGAGACUGCAAGGCUAGAAUCUGGCAGAGGGGGGUAGAAUUCCACGUGUAGCAGUGAAAUGCGUAGAGAUGUGGAGGAACACCGAUGGCGAAGGCAGCCCCCUGGGUCAAGAUUGACGCUCAUGCACGAAAGCGUGGGGAGCAAACAGGG